AUUGAACGCUGGCGGCAGGCCUAACACAUGCAAGUCGAGCGGAUGAAGGGAGCUUGCUCCUGGAUUCAGCGGCGGACGGGUGAGUAAUGCCUAGGAAUCUGCCUGGUAGUGGGGGAUAACGUCCGGAAACGGGCGCUAAUACCGCAUACGUCCUGAGGGAGAAAGUGGGGGAUCUUCGGACCUCACGCUAUCAGAUGAGCCUAGGUCGGAUUAGCUAGUUGGUGGGGUAAAGGCCUACCAAGUCGACGAUCCGUAACUGGUCUGAGAGGAUGAUCAGUCACACUGGAACUGAGACACGGUCCAUGCUCCUACGGGGGGCCGCAGUGGGGAAUAUUGGACUAUGGGCGAAAGCCUGAUCCAGCCAUGCCGCGUGUGUGAAGAAGGUCUUCGGAUUGUAAAGCACUUUAAUUUGGGAGGAAGGGCAGUAAGUUAAUACCUUGCUGUUUUGACGUUACCAACAGAAUAAGCACCGGCUAACUUCGUG
rnacentral:rRNA from 1 species